rnacentral:pre_miRNA from 1 species
UAAAUAUAAUGUCAUUUAUACAUUAUUUAUGCAAUAAAUGAUUUAUAUUUACAG